AUACGUAGGUGACAAGCGUUAUCCGGAUUUACUGGGCGUAAAGGGCGUGUAGGCGGUCUUGCAAGUCAGAAGUGAAAUUCCUGAGCUCAACUCGGGCGCUGCUUCUGAAACUGCAGGACUUGAGUGCUGGAGGGGAUAGCGGAAUUCCUAGUGGAGCGGUAAAAUGCGCAGAUAUUAGGAAGAACACCGGUGGCGAAGGCGGCUAUCUGGACAGUAACUGACGCUGAGGCGCGAAAGCGGGGGGAGCAAACAGGAUUAGAUCCCCUGGUAGUCCACGCCGUAAACGAUGAAUACUAGGUGUAGGGGGUAUCGACUCCCUCUGUGCCGCAGUUAACACAAUAAGUAUUCCGCCUGGGGAGUACGGCCGCAAGGUUGAAACUCAAAUGAAUUGACGGGG
rnacentral:rRNA from 1 species